rnacentral:rRNA from 1 species
CCUACGGGAGGCAGCAGUGGGGAAUAUUGCGCAAUGGGCGAAAGCCUGACGCAGCGACGCAGCGUGAGGGACGAAGGCCUUCGGGUUGUAAACCUCUUUCAGCGGGGACGAAGCGAAAGUGACGGUACCCGCAGAAGAAGCACCGGCUAACUACGUGCCAGCAGCCGCGGUAAUACGUAGGGUGCAAGCAUUGUCCGGAUUUAUUGGGCGUAAAGAGCUCGUAGGCGGCUUGUCACGUCGGAUGUGAAAACUCGGGGCUCAACCCCGAGCCUGCAUUCGAUACGGGCUAGCUAGAGUGUUGCAGGGGAGACUGGAAUUCCUGGUGUAGCGGUGAAAUGCGCAGAUAUCAGGAGGAACACCGGUGGCGAAGGCGGGUCUCUGGGGCAACUACUGACGCUGAGGAGCGAAAGCGUGGGGAGCGAACAGGAUUAGAUACCCUGGUAGUCCACGCCGUAAACGGUGGGCGCUAGGUGUGGGGAACCUUCCACGUUCUCUGUGCCGUAGCUAACGCAUUAAGCGCCCCGCCUGGGGAGUACGGCCGCAAGGCUAAAACUCAAAAUGAAAUUGACGGCUGAGACNGCGAGACGACGACGAGGAGAG